rnacentral:rRNA from 1 species
GAUGAACGCUGGCGGCGUGCCUAAUACAUGCAAGUCGAACGCGAGCAGCAAUGCUCGAGUGGCGAACGGGUGAGUAAUACAUAAGUAACCUGCCCUAGACAGGGGGAUAACUGCUGGAAACGGCAGCUAAGACCGCAUAGGUAUGGACACUGCAUGGUGACCAUAUUAAAAGUGCCAAGGCACUGGUAGAGGAUGGACUUAUGGCGCAUUAGCUGGUUGGUGAGGUAACGGCUCACCAAGGCGACGAUGCAUAGCCGAGUUGAGAGACUGAUCGGCCACAUUGGGACUGAGACACGGCCCAA